rnacentral:lncRNA from 1 species
CUCAGUGAAGCAUUACGGGGUUUCUAUAGGGCGCUAUGGGUCCCUAUGGGGCACUAUGGGUCUCUAUGGGGCACUACGGGUCUCUAGGGGAUGCUGUGGGGCCUCUAUGGGUCUCUGUAGGGCUCCAUGGGGCGCUAUGGGGCCUCUAUGGGGCUCUAUAGGGCUCCACGGGGCGCUAUGGGUCUCUAUGGGGUACUAUGGGGUCCCUAUGGGGCGCUAUGGGGCACUAUGGGUCUCUACGGGGCACUACGGGUGUCUAGGGGAUGCUAUGGGGCCUCUAUGGGCCGCUAUGGGUCUCAAUGGGGCGCUACGGGUCUCAGUGGGGCGCUAUGGGUCGCUACGGGGUGGUAUGGGUCUCAGUGGGGCGCUAUGGGUCCCUAUGGGGCGCUACGGGUCUCAGUGGAUCCGCUAUGGAUCCCUAUGGGGCGCUAUGGGUCUCAGUGGGGCGCUAUGGGUCGCUAUGGGGUGGUAUGGUUCUCAGAGGAGUGCUAUGGGUCUCUAUGGGGCGCUAUGGUUCUCAGUGAGCCGCUAUGGGUCCCUAUGGGGCGCUAUGGGUUUCUGUGGGGCGCUACGGGUUGCUAUGGGGCGCUAUGGGUCUCAAUGGGGCGCUAUGGGUCUCAGUGGGGUGCUAUGGGUCUCAGUGGGGCGCUAUGGGUCUCAGUGGGGCGCUACGGGUCUCAGUGGGGCACUAUGGGUCUCUGUGGGGCGCUAUGGGUCUCUGUGGGGCGCUACGGGUCUCUAUGGGGCGCUAUGGGACACUACAGGACCUCCAAAAAACCUCUAUGGGUUCUUAUGGGGCGCUACAGCUCUCAGUGGGGCGCUAUGGGUCUCAGUGGGGCGCUAUGGGGCGCUAUGGGUCUCAGUGAGGCGCUAUGGGUCCCUGUGGGGUGCUAUGGGGAUCAGUGGGGCACUAUGGUUCUCAGUGAGGCGCUAUGGGUUCCUAUGGGGCGCUAUGGGUCCCUAUGGGGCGCUAUGGGUUUCUGUGGGGCGCUAUGGGUCUCAAUGGGGCGCUAUGGGUCCCUAUGGGACGCUACAGGGUCUCCAAAGAGCCUCUAUGGGUUCCUAUGGGACGCUACAGCUCUCAGUGGGGCACUAUGGGUCUCAGUGGGGCGCUAUGGGUCUCAGUGGGGCGCUAUGGGUCUCAGUGGGGCGCUAUGGGGCGCUAUGGGGCGGUACCUGGCCAAGAGGGGCAGGGCGGUGGCGCAGGCGAGGCGUGCGGGGGGGGCCCCGCAGCGCAACAUGUGGGUCAGCAGCCCCACACCAAAGGGGGUCCCGGCCACCCCCCCCAGAGUGCGCAGCAACGCCUCCCCUAUGGGGCAC